CUUCUACUCCCUCCGUCCGAAAAUACUUGUCAUCAGAAUGAACAGAAAGGGAUGUAUCUAGAACUAAAAUACAUCUAGAUACAUCCUCUUUUAUUCAUUUUGGUGACAAGUAUUUCCGGACAGAGGGAGUACGUA
rnacentral:pre_miRNA from 1 species